rnacentral:rRNA from 1 species
UUUGAUCCUGGCUCAGAACGAACGCUGGCGGCAGGCCUAACACAUGCAAGUCGAGCGCACCCUUCGGGGCGAGCGGCGGACGGGUUAGUAACGCGUGGGAACAUACCCAAUGGUACGGAAUAGCCUCGGGAAACUGAGAGUAAUACCGUAUGUGCCCUUCGGGGGAAAGAUUUAUCGCCAUUGGAUUGGCCCGCGUAAGAUUAGAUAGUUGGUGGGGUAAUGGCCUACCAAGUCUACGAUCUUUAGCUGGUUUUAGAGGAUGAUCAGCAACACUGGGACUGAGACACGGCCCAGACUCCUACGGGAGGCAGCAGUGGGGAAUCUUAGACAAUGGGCGCAAGCCUGAUCUAGCCAUGCCGCGUGUGUGAUGAAGGCCUUAGGGUCGUAAAGCACUUUCGCCAGAGAUGAUAAUGACNGUAUCUGGUAAAGAAACCCCGGCUAACUCCGUGCCAGCAGCCGCGGUAAUAAGGG